UACGGAGGGGGCUAGCGUUGUUCGGAAUUACUGGGCGUAAAGCGCACGUAGGCGGCUUUGUAAGUUAGAGGUAAAAGCCCGGGGCUCAACUCCGGAAUUGCCUUUAAGACUGCAUCGCUCAGAAUUGUGGAGAGGUAAGUGGAAUUCCGAGUGUAGAGGUGAAAUUCGUAGAUAUUCGGAAGAACACCAGUGGCGAAGGCGACUUACUGGACACAUAUUGACGCUGAGGUGCGAAAGCGUGGGGAGCAAACAGG
rnacentral:rRNA from 1 species